rnacentral:lncRNA from 1 species
CUGGCUGGCUCUUUUGACCCCUUGGCCUUUCAAGGCUUAGGAGCACUACACUAACUCCUACAGAAAUCGAAAGCUCCAUACCCCUACUCUGAGAAGUGUGAGCGUUGGAAGUCGGUCCAAUGCAAGCUUUUAGAGAAAGGGCCUCACUCUGGGGUUGGCGGUCACUCUUCAAAUCGAAGUAGCCUCGAUCCUCCUAUCCGUCGUCGGCCUGUACAUCUUGAAUAGGUCCCUUAUGAGAACCUUAGGGCAAUAUGAUCGACUCCACACCUUCAAAUCCUGAUUGCGAUAGAUUGAAAUUGGAGUGGCGAUGAUCCCUUCAGCGAGCGGACCCCCAAAGAAAUGGAUAAUAACCUGGGCUCUCUAGCCCCUACCAUUGGUAGUGAACAAGUCACAGACAUGUAGAUAGUCAUCCACCUCGCUAUGACGUAGGUUGGCCAGUAGGAAAGAGACAGGCUAGAGGCCCAUGAUUUGAUCGAUGCCAAAACUGCAGGCCUAUGAGCACAAAUCUCUUUCUAGAUGAAGAAAUAAACAUGGAUAGCCUGUGUCAAGGACCCCUAACUCUACGCCCCAUAUCAAGCCAUCAUCAUCCUGCUCCAUAAACAAUCAGAUUGGAUAAGAAAUCUGACAGCAUGUCUAAUGAUCAUAGCCUUCGUCCUGACCAAUAGGGACUAAAUCCCAAGACCCCCGUCCCUCAUAGGCUUGCAGACCACCUCC